GGAGGCAGCAGUGGGGAAUAUUGCACAAUGGGCGCAAGCCUGAUGCAGCCAUGCCGCGUGUAUGAAGAAGGCCUUCGGGUUGUAAAGUACUUUCAGCGGGGAGGAAGGUGUUGAGGUUAAUAACCUCAGCAAUUGACGUUACCCGCAGAAGAAGCACCGGCUAACUCCGUGCCAGCAGCCGCGGUAAUAG
rnacentral:rRNA from 1 species